rnacentral:rRNA from 1 species
AUUGAACGCUGGCGGAAUGCUUUACACAUGCAAGUCGAGCGGCAGCGCGGGGGCAACCCUGGCGGCGAGCGGCGAACGGGUGAGUAAUACAUCGGAACGUGUCCUUCAAGUGGGGGAUAGCUCGGCGAAAGCCGGAUUAAUACCGCAUAAGCUCUGAGGAGGAAAGCGGGGACGUGGUAACGGCCUCGCGCUGUUGGAGCGGCCGAUGUCGGAUUAGCUAGUUGGUGGGGUAAAGGCCCACCAAGGCGACGAUCCGUAGCUGGUCUGAGAGGAUGAUCAGCCACACUGGAACUGAGACACGGUCCAGACUCCUACGGGAGGCAGCAGU